UACAGAGGUCUCGAGCGUUGUUCGGAUUCAUUGGGCGUAAAGGGUGCGUAGGCGGCGGGGCAAGUCUGAUGUGAAAUCCCGGGGCUCAACUCCGGAACUGCAUUGGAUACUGCCUUGCUUGAGUACUGGAGAGGAGACUGGAAUUUACGGUGUAGCAGUGAAAUGCGUAGAGAUCGUGAGGAAGACCAGUGGCGAAGGCGAGUCUCUGGACAGUUACUGACGCUGAGGCACGAAGGCCAGGGGAGCAAACGGG
rnacentral:rRNA from 1 species